ensembl:snRNA U6 U6 spliceosomal RNA
CUGUGGAAUCUGCAUGCAUAGAGAAACAUCAGGAUUACAGAGAAGAUUAGCAUGGCUUCUGUGCAAGAAUGACACACAGAUUUGUGAAGAGUUCCAUAUGUAU